rnacentral:lncRNA from 1 species
CCAACUGUCUCAGCCACUUCCAUUAGGUCUGAAAAUCUAAAUUUAAACAAAACUCAAUCUUGUCAGAGGUUGUUUUAAAUCCUAGAUUGCAUUGAAUCUCAGGGUUGAAGUAGUACAAUCCCCUUCUAUUAAUCCCAGAAAAAAGGAUCUCCUGAUUCUUCAAACUCUUCACCUGGAAUUCCUUCUGGCCAAUCUGAAUAUAACAAUUCAAAUCACUACAAAGUUUAGUUGUUGAUAUUAAUAUUUUCUUAAUCUUGGGUACACAUAAAACCUUAUUUAAUAUAAAUAUUCUGGAAUUUAUUUUAAAUUCAAGUUUUCCUAUUUUUGAUAUUUUUAAUUUAUCCCCACUACCAAUUAUAACACCCCCAAUACCUGUGUAUGUUUCAC